rnacentral:rRNA from 2 species
CAGCCGCCGCGGUAAAACCAGCACCUCAAGUGGUCAGGAUGAUUAUUGGGCCUAAAGCAUCCGUAGCCGGCUCUGUAAGUUUUCGGUUAAAUCUGUACGCUCAACGUACAGGCUGCCGGGAAUACUGCAGAGCUAGGGAGUGGGAGAGGUAGACGGUACUCGGUAGGAAGGGGUAAAAUCCUUUGAUCUAUUGACGACCACCUGUGGCGAAGGCGGUCUACCAGAACACGUCCGACGGUGAGGGAUGAAAGCUGGGGGAGCAAACCGGAUUAGAUACCCGGGUAGUCCCAGCUGUAAACUAUGCAAACUCAGUGAUACAUUGGCUUGUGGCCAAUGCAGUGCUGCAGGGAAGCCGUUAAGUUUGCCGCCUGGGAAGUACGUACGCAAGUAUGAAACUUAAAGGAAUUGGCGGGGGAGCAC